CCUACGGGCGGCAGCAGUGGGGAAUAUUGCACAAUGGGGGAAACCCUGAUGCAGCGACGCCGCGUGAGUGAAGAAGUAUUUCGGUAUGUAAAGCUCUAUCAGCAGGAACGAGACAAGACGGUACCUGACUAAGAAGCCCCGGCUAACUACGUGCCAGCAGCCGCGGUAAUACGUAGGGGGCAAGCGUUAUCCGGAAUCACUGGGGGAAAAGGGAGCGUAGACGGCUGUGCAAGCCUGAAGUGAAAGGCGGGGCCCAACCCCUGGACUGCUUUGGGAACUGUACGGCUGGAGUGCAGGAGAGGUAAGUGGAAUUCCUAGUGUAGCGGUGAAAUGCGUAGAUAUUAGGAGGAACACCAGUGGCGAAGGCGGCUUACUGGACUGUAACUGACGUUGAGGCUCGAAAGCGUGGGGAGCAAACAGGAUUAGAUACCCGUGUAGUC
rnacentral:rRNA from 1 species